GUGCUUGCUUCAGCAACACAUACACUAAAAUCGGAACAAUACAAGAAAAUUAGCAUGGCCUGUAGGCAAGGAUAGCAUGCAAAUUCAGGAAGUGUUCCAUAUUUUU
rnacentral:snRNA from 1 species